AACGGGCACUCCGAGCUGCAUGACCUAAAGUUAUCCAUGGUCUGGCAGUCUGAACAAUUAGUUCACGGGGUAGCGAAAGAAAUUUCACUACCUCCCAAUCUGGGAAAGGAGGCGCUUCACGAGUUUU
rnacentral:ncRNA from 2 species